rnacentral:rRNA from 1 species
GCCCAAGAGAUCGGGAUAACACCUGGAAACAGAUGCUAAUACCGGAUAACAACAGAUGAUGCCUAUCAACUGUUUAAAAGAUGGUUCUGCUAUCACUCUUGGAUGGACCUGCGGUGCAUUAGCUAGUUGGUAGGGUAACGGCCUACCAAGGCGAUGAUGCAUGGCCGAGUUGAGAGACUGAUCGGCCACAUUGGGACUGAGACACGGCCCAAACUCCUACGGGAGGCAGCAGUA